CCAGCAAGCCCCAUCAGUAAUCCUGGAAGUGAACUUUCGUCACAGAAAGGUUCUUUUGGGCUUUUCCUAGCAUCCAUUUUUUUUUUCUUGGCACGACUUCCAUUUUUUUUUUUCUUCACAGAAGCUGUGAAAACUUUUCCUGAAAUGAUCCCACUCUGCCUUCUGGCUGAAGAAUAUGACUGAUGUCUUUUCUUCCCCAGUGCAGAAGUACAUCUGUGGAGUAGAGAGACUAGAUAUAAAUGUUCUGAAAUUUUGGAGUAUGGAGCAGGGGAUGUUUAAUUGUGAAAUUCUGGGAGGACUCUAUGUGUUGGAAGACUCAGAACCUGUCAAAAAAAUUGAGGAAGAAGGAGGGAGGUGAUGAGACAAUUAUUUUCAAUAAGAAUUGAACUGGUGACUUGAAGACAAUAUACCCAAAUCAUCUGCUGGACUCCUUCAUCCAUUCUUCUCAUAAUCUUGAACUGAAUUUCAAUAUCAACGCUGUGGAAAAUGAAGAAGAUUGAUGUCCACUUAAGAAAUUUUUUCUAGACUAGUUUUGCCACUUAGGUAACCGUCUAUUUAUACAGCCACUAAAACCGUGUCCUACUGGUUUAUAGUCUCACACUAUUUAUCACAAGAAUGAAGAACAAGUGCCGCGUUGGAUACCUGCAUCUUGAAACAUUAUGCAAGCAUAAGGAGGUGGGAAGCC
rnacentral:lncRNA from 1 species